rnacentral:rRNA from 1 species
UUCCGGUUGAUCCUGCCGGACCCGACUGCUAUUUGGGUGAGGAUAAACCAUGCGAGUUGUAUGGGAUACCUAAAUUUCCCAUAGCAAACUGCUUAGUAACACAUGAUCAACUUGCCCUAUGGAGAAAUAUAACCUCGGGAAACUGAGGAUAAUGCUUCAUAGUUGAAUAGGCUUGGAAAAGUUUUUCAAUGAAAGGGAUAAGAUAAAUGGUUCUUAUCUGCCAUAGGAUAGGAUCGUGCUCGAUUAUGGUUGUUGGUGAGGUAACGGCUCACCAAGCCGAUAAUCGAUAGGGGCCGUGAGAGCGGGAGCCCCAAGAUGGGUACUGAGACAGCGACCCAGGCCUUACGAGGCGCAGCAGGUACGAAACCUCCGCAAUACACGAAAGUGUGACGGGGUUACCCAAAGUGUUCUUAUAGAACUGUGGCAGGUGAGUAAUGUCCCCUGCUAGAAAGGAGAGGGCAAGGCUGGUGCCAGCCGCCGCGGUAAAACCAGCUCUUCAAGUGGUCGGGAUGAUUAUUGGGCUUAAAGUGUCCGUAGCCGGUUUAGUAAGUUCCUGGUAAAAUCAGGUAGCUUAACUAUCUGCAUGCUAGGAAUACUGCUAUACUAGAGGGCGGUAGAGGUCUGAGGUACUACAGGGGUAGGGGUGAAAUCUUAUAAUCCUUGUAGGACCACCAGUGGCGAAGGCGUCAGACUGGAACGCGCCUGACGGUGAGGGACGAAAGCCAGGGGAGCGAACCGGAUUAGAUACCCGGGUAGUCCUGGCCGUAAACGAUGCAUACUAGGUGAUGGUACGGCCAUGAGCCGUGUCAGUGCCGUAGGGAAACCGUUAAGUGUGCCGCCUGGGAAGUACGGUCGCAAGGCUAAAACUUAAAGGAAUUGGCGGGGGAGCACCACAAGGGGUGAAGCCUGCGGUUCAAUUGGAUUCAACGCCGGG